rnacentral:rRNA from 1 species
AUGAACGCUAGCUACAGGCUUAACACAUGCAAGGUCGAGGGGCAGCGGGAUUGAAGCUUGCUUCAAUUGCCGGCGACCGGCGCACGGGGUGAGUAACGCGUAUCCAACCUUCCGUACACUCAGGGAUAAGCCUUUCGAAAGAAAGAUUAAUACCUGAUGGUAUGAUGAGAUCGCAUGGUAUCAUCAUUAAAGAUUUAUCGGUGUACGAUGGGGAUGCGUUCCAUUAGGUAGUAGGCGGGGUAACGGCCCACCUAGCCUACGAUGGAUAGGGGUUCUGAGAGGAAGGUCCCCCACAUUGGAACUGAGACACGGUCCAAACUCCUACGGGAGGCAGCAGUGAGGAAUAUUGGUCAAUGGACGAGAGUCUGAACCAGCCAAGUAGCGUGAAGGAUGAAGGUCCUACGGAUUGUAAACUUCUUUUAUAAGGGAAUAAAACCUCCCACGUGUGGGAGCUUGUAUGUACCUUAUGAAUAAGCAUCGGCUAACUCCGUG